GGGGCUAUAGCUCAGCUGGGAGAGCGCUACAAUGGCAUUGUAGAGGUCGGCGGUUCGAGACCGCCUAGCUCCACCA
rnacentral:tRNA from 1 species